CGAAGAAACAAAGAAAAAGACGCACAUAGACUCCGUCUACUCCAUAAAAAGAUUUGAGAAGCAAGAAGAAGUUUUGUUAGUGUUUUGGAGUCGAAUAUGACUUGAUGUGAUGUGUAUGAUUGUGUAUAAGAACUUAAACCACAACUCGAGCUUAAAAGCCUAAAUAGUGUUUCUUC
rnacentral:sRNA from 1 species